CCUACGGGAGGCAGCAGUGAGGAAUAUUGGUCAAUGGACGCAAGUCUGAACCAGCCAAGUCGCGUGCAGGAUGACUGCCCUAUGAGUUGUAAACUGCUUUUGUACGAGGGUAAUAUCAGAUACGUGUAUCUGCUUGUAAGUAUCGUACGAAUAAGGAUCGGCUAACUCCGUGCCAGCAGCCGCGGUAAUACGGAGGAUCCGAGCGUUAUCCGGAUUUAUUGGGUUUAAAGGGUGCGUAGGCGGAUUUUUAAGUCAGAGGUGAAAGUUUGGGGCUCAACUGCGGACGUGCCGUUGAUACUGGAUGACUAGAGAAUAGUAGCGGUAGGCGGAAUGUAUGGUGUAGCGGUGAAAUGCGUAGAGAUCAUACAGAACACCGAUUGCGAAGGCAGUUUACCAAACUAUAUCUGACACUGAGGCACGAAAGCGUGGGUAGCAAACAGGAUUAGAUACCCGAGUAGUC
rnacentral:rRNA from 1 species